rnacentral:rRNA from 1 species
UACGAAGGGGGCUAGCGUUGUUCGGAUUAACUGGGCGUAAAGGGUGCGUAGGCGGGUUUUAAGUCAGGGGUGAAAUCCCGAGGCUCAACCUCGGAACUGCCUUUGAUACUGGAAAUCUUGAGUCUGGGAGAGGUGAGUGGAACUGCGAGUGUAGAGGUGAAAUUCGUAGAUAUUCGCAAGAACACCGGUGGCGAAGGCGGCUCACUGGCCCGGAACUGACGCUGAGGCACGAAAGCGUGGGGAGCAAACAGG